AGAGGGGUGCAAGCGUUAAUCGGAAUUACUGGGCGUAAAGCGCGCGUAGGUGGGAUAGUUUAGUUGGCUGUGAAAGACCCGGGGCUUAACCUGGGUUUGCCAGCCAAUACUGGCUGUCUAGAGUACAGUAGAGGGAAGUGGAAUUUCCGGUGUAGCGGUGAAAUGCGUAGAUAUCGGAAGGAACAUCAGUGGCGAAGGCGACUUCCUGGACUGAUACUGACACUGAGGUGCGAAAGCGUGGGGAGCGAACAGGAUUAGAUACCCUGGUAGUCCACGCCGUAAACGAUGAGAACUAGCCGUUGGAAGAGCAAUCUUUUAGUGGCGCAGCUAACGCAUUAAGUUCUCCGCCUGGGGAGUACGGCCGCAAGGUAA
rnacentral:rRNA from 1 species